rnacentral:rRNA from 1 species
CAGUAGCCGCGGGAAUACGUAGGUGGCAAGCGUUGUCCGGAAUUAUUGGGCGUAAAGGGCUCGCAGGCGGUUUCUUAAGUCUGAUGUGAAAGCCCCCGGCUCAACCGGGGAGGGUCAUUGGAAACUGGGAGACUUGAGUGCAGAAGAGGAGAGUGGAAUUCCACGUGUAGCGGUGAAAUGCGUAGAGAUGUGGAGGAACAUCAGUGGCGAAGGCGACUCUCUGGUCUGUAACUGACGCUGAGGAGCGAAAGCGUGGGGAGCGAACAGGAUUAGAUACCCCCGUAGUCCCUGUCUCUUAUAC